UGCUGGAGGUAUCAGAAGUGCGAAUGCUGACAUAAGUAACGAUAAAGCGGGUGAAAAGCCCGCUCGCCGGAAGACCAAGGGUUCCUGUCCAACGUUAAUCGGGGCAGGGUGAGUCGACCCCUAAGGCGAGGCCGAAAGGCGUAGUCGAUGGGAAACAGGUUAAUAUUCCUGUACUUGGUGUUACUGCGAAGGGGGGACGGAGAAGGCUAUGUUGGCCGGGCGACGGUUGUCCCGGUUUAAGCGUGUAGGCUGGUUUUCCAGGCAAAUCCGGAAAACCAAGGCUGAGGCGUGAUGACGAGGCACUACGGUGCUGAAGCAACAAAUGCCCUGCUUCCAGGAAAAGCCUCUAAGCAUCAGGUAACAUCAAAUCGUACCCCAAACCGACACAGGUGGUCAGGUAGAGAAUACCAAGGCGCUUGAGAGAACUCGGGUGAAGGAACUAGGCAAAAUGGUGCCGUAACUUCGGGAGAAGGCACGCUGAUAUGUAGGUGAAGCGACUAGCUCGUGGAGCUGAAAUCAGUCGAAGAUACCAGCUGGCUGCAACUGUUUAUUAAAAACACAGCACUGUGCAAACACGAAAGUGGACGUAUACGGUGUGACGCCUGCCCGGUGCCGGAAGGUUAAUUGAUGGGGUUAGCGGUAACGCGAAGCUCUUGAUCGAAGCCCCGGUAAACGGCGGCCGUAACUAUAACGGUCCUAAGGUAGCGAAAUUCCUUGUCGGGUAAGUUCCGACCUGCACGAAUGGCGUAAUGAUGGCCAGGCUGUCUCCACCCGAGACUCAGUGAAAUUGAACUCGCUGUGAAGAUGCAGUGUACCCGCGGCAAGACGGAAAGACCCCGUGAACCUUUACUAUAGCUUGACACUGAACAUUGAGCCUUGAUGUGUAGGAUAGGUGGGAGGCUUUGAAGUGUGGACGCCAGUCUGCAUGGAGCCGACCUUGAAAUACCACCCUUUAAUGUUUGAUGUUCUAACGUGGGCCCCUAAUCGGGGUUGCGGACAGUGUCUGGUGGGUAGUUUGACUGGGGCGGUCUCCUCCUAAAGAGUAACGGAGGAGCACGAAGGUUGGCUAAUCCUGGUCGGACAUCAGGAGGUUAGUGCAAUGGCAUAAGCCAGCUUGACUGCGAGCGUGACGGCGCGAGCAGGUGCGAAAGCAGGUCAUAGUGAUCCGGUGGUUCUGAAUGGAAGGGCCAUCGCUCAACGGAUAAAAGGUACUCCGGGGAUAACAGGCUGAUACCGCCCAAGAGUUCAUAUCGACGGCGGUGUUUGGCACCUCGAUGUCGGCUCAUCACAUCCUGGGGCUGAAGUAGGUCCCAAGGGUAUGGCUGUUCGCCAUUUAAAGUGGUACGCGAGCUGGGUUUAGAACGUCGUGAGACAGUUCGGUCCCUAUCUGCCGUGGGCGCUGGAGAACUGAGGGGGGCUGCUCCUAGUACGAGAGGACCGGAGUGGACGCAUCACUGGUGUUCGGGUUGUCAUGCCAAUGGCACUGCCCGGUAGCUAAAUGCGGAAGAGAUAAGUGCUGAAAGCAUCUAAGCACGAAACUUGCCCCGAGAUGAGUUCUCCCUGAGACUUAGAGUCUCCUGAAGGAACGUUGAAGACGACGACGUUGAUAGGCCGGGUGUGUAAGCGCAGCGAUGCGUUGAGCUAACCGGUACUAAUGAACCGUGAGGCUUAACC
rnacentral:rRNA from 1 species